rnacentral:tRNA from 1 species
GGUGUUGUAGCUCAGUGGAGGAGCACUUGCCUAACAUGUGUGAUGCCCUGGGUUCAAUCCUCAGCACCACAU